AAUCCUGACUCAGGAUGAACGCUAGCUACAGGCUUAACACAUGCAAGUCGAGGGGCAGCAUUUUUCUAGCAAUAGAAGAGAUGGCGACCGGCGCACGGGUGAGUAACACGUAUCCAACCUACCGAUAACUCUGGAAUAGCCUUUCGAAAGAAAGAUUAAUACCGGAUAGUAUACGAAUAUCGCAUGAUAUUUUUAUUAAAGAAUUUCGGUUAUCGAUGGGGAUGCGUUCCAUUAGUUUGUUGGCGGGGUAACGG
rnacentral:rRNA from 1 species